AUCAUCUGUCCCGCAAAAAAGAAACUAACCCAGAUCCACUCAAUAGGCAAAUCCCCCAAAUCACGCCCAUGAACACCCCACAACCUCCAGCACGAACACCUCCACGGCAUCUGGUGCGCUCCAACUGCCCAUCACCGCCGCCUCCAUGCACAAUCUGGUGAUCCGCCAUGGCUCGCCGCCGCCGAUGCUAAAGGAGACGGAGGCGUCGCUGGCCCACGCGUUCCAACGGUGAGGCCGCGACUGGUUGCCCCUCUCGAUACGCGGUUGCGGUAGUCAAACCACCCACCCUCCCCGCCGUCUACUGCAGCUGAUGCCACUGUGCUCUUCUUCUCGAUCCGGCGCUGAUGAGGAUCCCAAACGGGGCACACCAGGAUUUCGCGCCGCCAGCCAAUCAAAAGGAGGAUCUAAAGCAGCUUUUGGUAGUGAAGUUCCAACUGAGGAAAGAACACAGAUUGAACAUGAAAUAAAAAAGUCAUCUUCUUUGAUACAAUGGUAAAGAUGUGUCAAUCAUAAACUUUCCAUUUUUUCAUUAAAUGGUAAAGAUGGGUAAAGGAGCUGUUUGUCCUUAUUUUGUGCCAAUGGCAUGCUUAUAAGUACCGAGAAGGAUACUAGGGCAUGGAGAAAGAGAGACAAAGAGUUGGAGAGUACCAUGGUUGGAUUUUUUAUUGGUGUCGAGGAGGACGCUGCUGAGGCCAUCGACGACAUCAUUGGAAAACUCAGUAUGGAGAGCAACGCAGCCUCCCACAUUUAACCACAAGAUAGACUUCGUAUUUGCCGACGACAACUUUCCUGAAUCGCAGAGUCGGCCUCCGCUAAUUGGCUGUUAACGUUCAUGACCGACUAUCAUUUUGGGUAGGAAAAGCCUUCCUAUGGACCUGUCUUAAGAGAUCCUGAAAGCUAUAUGCAGGCAGGUGUCAGUUGAGAUGUCGAAUUCUCGGUUAGUUCAUCUGUGUGCGCGUCUGUGUGUUUGUCAGGAAGUCGACUAAAAUUCUCUCUGGCUCCUUAAUUAUUUUUCUUCCAUGGUAGUCAGCCACGUUUGGCAUUUUGUUGGCAAGCAGAGUGAGAGACCCCGUCGGAAUGAUGUUGUAGAGGGGCAGUGCAAGGGAUGUGGUGAAUAUGACUGAAAGUUUUGAGUUCGUUCUUGAUAUAUAUUGUAAUAGCAAGCUGAUCCAUCAAAAUAACUGAUCCAUCAGCAACGACAACUGCUACUGCAUGAGUCGAAUUGCCUUCUCGGCUACAGUAGCAAUUUCAUUGAUUUCUUGCAAUUAGUUUUCCUUCUCAUUAGUGUCUCCCUGGUUUUCUCUUGCCUUUGCUUAUGAACAAUGUAAAUACUAUUCUAAAUCAAUAAUAACUGCAAAAGGUAACCAUUCCUUGGAAAAGAACGGCUACCUAGCAUGUUCUUCAUAGGUUCCGUUAAGGAUCAGUUUACCUGCAGUACUCUCGCCCCACCAUAAUAUUUCAAUUUUUGGAUCGUGGUUGACAAUAUUAUUUGUUGUUAUGAAGUAUGUGAAUUAUUUGUGGUUAUAAAGUG